GUGUCAGCAGCCGCGGUAAUACGUAGGUGGCAAGCGUUGUCCGGAAUUACUGGGCGUAAAGGGCGUGUAGGCGGCCUUUUAAGUCAGACGUGAAAACCCUGGGCUUAACCCAGGAACUGCGUUUGAAACUGGAGGGCUUGAGGACCGGAGAGGGUAGUGGAAUUCCCAGUGUAGCGGUGAAAUGCGUAGAUAUUGGGAGGAACACCAGUGGCGAAGGCGACUGCCUGGACGGCACCUGACGCUGAGGCGCGAAAGCUAGGGGAGCAAACGGGAUUAGAUACCCGUGUAGUCC
rnacentral:rRNA from 1 species